UACGGAGGGUGCGAGCGUUGUCCGGAAUCACUGGGCGUAAAGGGCGCGUAGGCGGCCUGAUAAGUAGGGGGUGAAAGCCCCGGGCUCAACCUGGGAAUUGCAUUCGAGACUGAAUAGCUAGGGUGCGGUAGAGGGAAGCGGAAUUUCCGGUGUAGCGGUGAAAUGCGUAGAUAUCGGAAGGAACAUCAGUGGCGAAAGCGGCUUCCUGGACCAGCACCGACGUUCAGGCACGAAAGCGUGGGGAGCAAACAGG
rnacentral:rRNA from 1 species